UCUGGGGAAGGAGAGAGCGCAGACCCAGUGUGGGCACCACGGUUGGCUUGGUGGGGCACCGUGGGAGUGCAGGAAGUGGGCAGGCUCACUUUGGCACUUCCCACGCAUUUGCUGCACUUCCUGCCAGCCUUGCCCUCUCUCCCCUCUCGGACACUCCUGGCUCCCACUUCCUUCAAGUUUCUUCUCUGCCUUCAUCCAUCAGCCACUGGUGGAGCCUGUCCUCGGCACCAGGCUCCAGGCCAGAGCCUGAGCUACGGAGAUGAAUGGGACAUCAUCCCUCCCCUCAAGGAGCUCCUCGCCCUGUGUGUGAAAAUCGAUCAUUAUAACUCACUGCGAUGACCCCAAGUCCGUGUCAAGUGGACAAACAAAAACAAAACUAACCAGCGCACAACUCUUAAAGAUGUCAAUGAUAGUACAUAGGACAAAGGUGGAUGAGCUUCGGAAUGACCACAGGCUGAAAAAGACUCCAGUCCAGGCUGCAGACAUGAGGCCUAAGGGAUGAGCAGAGGGCCAAGGGAGAGGCAGCAGGAAGGACAGAAGGACGCCGCUGCCUGGACCUGGCUUUUCAGCCACUGUGUGAGCGGGUUACCAACAUCCACUUCAUGAAGACUCAGCACCCGCUUGCCCUGGCCCUGCAGCUGGGGGGAGGCCAGAGUCUGCUCACCCCCGCUAAGCCAGCCUGUCUGUGGGGUUCCCAGGACUGUGGUGCAAAAGUCACACACGUCCACUUGGUAAUCAGGGACCUCCUGGGUCCCGCAUCGUGAAGGGCCCCGUAUUCCUGCUCCUGAGAACUUUGUCUCUGCUCCCUUCCCUCCCCCUCUCCCACUCCGAUAUGCUGCAGGGCAGGCUGUGGGGACGCCACUGAUGUCACGGGGUGGAGGUGGUGGGGGAGGGGGUACUAGUCUCUCCUCCCACCAGCCUUUUCUACACCAAGCAAAAGGGAGUCGGAGUUUGGAAAUGCAAUCAGUGGGGUAUGACCCUGUAGUCUUUCUACUGCCUGGAGCUUGGCAAGUCAGAUUGGCAAACACUGUCUGCAUUCUCUCGUCUGUCUAUCUAUCUAUCUAUCUAUCUAUCUAUCUAUCUAUCUAUCCCAAAGAGGCCGGUUCACUACUGCCACAUUUUAUACAAUGGGAGGGCUGAGGUGUGGAAGGAUGAGACAAGAGAGACAGAGAGACAGAGGGAGAGAGGCAGCAGGACGUGGGCAUGUCCAAAUACCCCGGGCUUCUCAGAAGACAGGAGCUUCUGAGCUGCUGCAUUAACUACUUUCCAUGUUGUUUUGUCAAAUUCCCUAGCAAAAAAGCAACUUCAGGGCUUAUUUUGGCUCCGGUUUGAGAGCUGGGUCAUCCCUGUAGGGAAGCUGUGGCAACGAGAAGAACAGGCGUGAGCUGUGCCAGCAGGCGUGGGAGGCCUCUGGACACACUGCUGUCGCAGUCAGAGAGCAGGGAGAGGGGAGCCUGCGCUCAGCAUCCCUUUCGCCUUUUUUAUUAUUCAGCCUGAGACCCCAGGGUGGGUCUUCUGGCUCUCCGGAUUUGCUCUCACGGACACACCAUGGCUCCACCACAGUGGCUUGCUUCCAGAUGCUCCCAAGCCCUGCGCACCCAGACGGGACCCCAGGCUUCCCUCCCUCUCCUCGAUGCCUCUGCCUGGCCUCCGAGCCAUUUGCAGCCCCUCCCUGACUUUACCAUGCUGUGCCCUCUACCUGACCCCUUCCUUUCCCCUGCUUGGCUGGUGGGCUCACACCUGCUCAGCCUCGGAGGCAAAACCUGGAUGAGAACCUGGCUCUUGCCAAGUCUUUUUCUGUUCAUCAUAGGGUUACAUAAAUCUAUUUUCAUGCAGGCAUGUAAUUAGGUAAUUAUGUAACGUACGCUGAGUAUUUCCUCACUUUCCUCCAAUACGCUCUUCUCUCUCAUCACUGCACCCCCCAACUUUGUUCGUGUAGACAACCACACUCCUACUUUCAUGUCAACGAUGCGUAUCAUGAUUUUUUUGGACCUGCAAAGUCUAGGCUGGAAAUGAUAGAAAACGUGGCCUUUAUCUGAGACUGACAACUCCUUUAUUAUGACUAUCUCCAGUUGUAUCCGUUCUUUUUCCAUGAAAACAACAGAACCUCAUUCCUUUUAGUGGCUGAGAAAAAUUCCAAUGUGUACGGAAACCCCAUUUUCUUCGUCCGCUCCUCCUCGGAUGGCCACUCGGGCUGGUCCUGUGAUUUUAGCUUUGUGAGUAUGACUGCAGUCAUCACUGAUGUUUGCAAACGUCCCUGUGCCCUGCUGACUUGGAGUCUUUCGGGGUAAAUGCAAAGGUGUGGGCUAGAGGGUAGCUCUACUUUUCAUUUUUGAUUUGGGAGGGCAUCCCUACUGAUUUCCACAGUGCCGGGCUUACUCACCCAACUUCAAGUUGUACUCCAGAGCCAAAAUAAGAAAAAAAAACCAAAACAGUGCCGUACUGGCAUGGGCACAGAGGCACAGAUCAAUGGAAUAGAACAGAGGGCCCUGACGUAAACCCACACAGCCAGAGCCACCCGGAUUCUUAACAAAGGCACUGAAAAUGUACAGUGGGGGAAGUGGCAGCCGCUUCGACGAACGGUGGUAGCAAAACCGGGGAUCCAAAUGUCGACUGAGGCUAGCUGCCUGCACCUCAGCCUGUGUGAAAAUCAGCUCCAAACAGAUCAAAGACCUUAAUGCAAAACCGGAAAGCCCGAAACUGUGGGAGGAAGCAAUAGGGAAAACGCUUCGGCAGCUUGGCAUGGGCGAGGGCUUUCUGAACAGGGCUUCCGGUGUGACGGAAACGUCGUUAAUGAUUGACAAAUGAAAGACGUCCACACGGCAAAAUAAGUGGUCGGAAGGGACAGCCUGCAGCAUGGAAGGAGAUCCUUGCUAGCUAGCUAGAUGAGGAUUAGAACCUAGGAUAUACAAAAACCUCAAAGAAAGUGAACAUCCCAGCUCAGCAAAUGAGCUCAUGAAACGAGCAGACAGUUCUCAAGUGGCGAGAUACAGAUGGCCAAUACACGCUUGAAAACACGCUCAGCGUCAGAGAGAUGCUAAGUGAAACCACGUCGGGAUCCACCUCACCCCCAAAAAACAACAACACAGCAGUCAUCAGGAAGAAAAAUGACAACAAAUACUCGGGCCAGUAAGAUGGCUUGAUGUGUAGAGGCCUUUGCCACCAAGUCUGACAAACCUGAGUUCUACUCCCAGAGCCUUCAUGGUGGAAGGAGAGAAUUUACCCUAAGUUGUCCUCUGGCCUCCACAGACAUGUCAUGGUACAUAUGUACCACGUAAAAACAAAGUAAACGACAAGAAAAAGAAACGCUCUGGCUUCUUCGUUGACUCUUCAGCAGUAUAUUUGGAAACUCCAUUUAUUUAGCCAUCUAUUCGUUUGUUCGUGUAGGACAGCGGUGCCAAGGUCAGGGGACAACUUGCCUCAGGGAUUGAGCUAAAGCUGUCAGACUUGGCAGUGAGUAUCUUUACCCAUGGAGCCAUCUCACCAGCCCCCAAACCAAAGCUUUUCUGAAACCGAAAGGUCAGCCUUCCACCGUUGGACCCGAGUCCCUUGUUCUCAAGCAUGGCUACCCUGGGUUCUCCUACUAGAGGGCCGGGGGUCUACGGCCCAGCUCCUGAGACCCCAAAGGCACUCCACGAGUAGUGAGUUCUGUGGGAGGCCACAGCCAGAAAGGUGGGUUCCUGAUUUCUGUGUGUGUGUGUGGGGGGAGGUGGACACAGUCUUUCCAGAGAAAGGACAGCUUGGGAAACUGAGGAAGGUGGUUCCCCUGGGUAAUCAGCCAUCAUCAGGAAACGCCUGUUGGUUUAGGGGAAAUCAGUUUGUCUAGUAAAUAAGGCUGCCAUAUUGUGAUCCAUCUGGUAGGAAACGAAGCCAAAUGUCUCCUUCUACCAUCUGACGACACCUACAAAACAGAUCCCAGGGGACUUAAAGAUCUAAGUAAAAAAACAAAAAACAAAACAAAAAAAAAAAACAAAGAACAAAAAUACAAAAAAAAAAAAAAAAAAAAAACCUAAAUGUUUCAGAAGAGAGUAAAAACAUUAGAAGAAAAUCUAGGAGUAAUUUUUUAAACACUUAUUUUUAUCUUGUAUGUGUGUUUCCCCUGCGUGUAUGUAGGAGAGGUCAGAAGUGGGGAGCCAGAUCCCCACUGGAGUUAUGCUGCCGUGUGGGUGCUGAGAUCCAAACCUCCACACUUACUGAAAAAGAAAAACCAAAACAAUAACAAAAACCAUACCCAAAACUCUGCUAAAGAAGCACAGCUGGUUCCCAGGUGUAUCUUGUCCCCCCGGGAGCCAUUUUUACACCAGCACGGCUCACUUGCCACAAGCAAUGAGCCAGGGUCUGUGUUUUGUGAUUAAAACCCACAGUUUAUUCACAUUUUCUUAGCUUGUGCAUAGCGCUCUUUUUCUGUUCCCUGACCCAUCAUGACAUGUGACACUCAUUUCCUGGCACUCCUCUCGGUGGCCUAGGCCCGUUUUUUCAGAUCAUCCUUGGUCCUGAUGACCUAAUGGUUUGAGGGGUGUUGCUCAGGCUAGGGGGUGGCACUGUUAGAAUUUCUCUGAUAUCACCCCUCCCUCCCUUCCUGCCCCCCGUCCCCCCUCCUGAUCUAGCAAGCAGUCAUGCCACCGUUACUGUAUCUCUGAUCUUUCUGCUUUCUGCUUCUACAUGGAGGUCUCACUAAGUCGCUCAGGCUGGCCUUGAACUCACUCUAGCCCAGGCCUACCUCGAACUUGUAGUCUUCUGCCUCAGCCUCCUAAGAGGCUGGGAACACAGGUCUGUACCACUAGGCCUGAGAUAGUCAUACCGUAUCCACGAAUCAACCUCACCGCUCUCCCCGCCCCCCAUAUCUGGAGAGAUGGCUCAGCCACUAUGAGCAUUACCUGCUCUGUUCCUCCAGUUUCAGGGACUCCGUUUCCCUCUCCUGACCUCCUCAGGCAUCAGGCACGCUGUGCUCACACAGGCAGCCAUAACACACAUAUACGUAAAGUAAAUAAAUCUUAAUGAAACCAAAACAAACAAACACCCAGACAAAGACAGCUUGCCAGGGAGUUACAAGUUCAAGCCGCAGCCCAUUUUGGUGGAAGUCAAGGCUGCAGCAGCUCGAAGUACCUGCCACAGCAGCCAGUCAGGAAGAGGCAUGAAUCCUCGGCUGGGUUCCCUUCUCCUCUGUUCCAGAAUCCCACCCACCGUGGACAGGCCUUCUCACCUCAUCUGACUAAAUCAAGAUGAUCACCUCCCUCCCCAGGCAUGCCCAGACCCCCACCUCCCAGGUGGUUUUGGGUCCUGUCAGGCUGGCAGGGAUCCACUAGCCACCCAUCUCAUCGGGGGCCUGGCAGCCAUACUGCCCCGCCCUCCAGCUAGUCUCCAUCCAGCAGGAAUCCUAGGUUAAGGGUUCCCAACCUCCCCAACCAUAAAAUUAUUUUAUUGCUACGUCAUAGCUGUGAUUUUGCUGCGGUUGUGAAUCUUAAUGUGAAUGGCUGAUAGGUGACCCCUGUGGGGGUUGAGGAACCGAUGCCCUACCUAGGGAAGUCCUCAGUGAGCCCUCCUCGGUGCUUCCUCAAAGAACCCCCUUAAUGCACUGGCCCCUGUCCCAGCCCCUUCCUCUCCCACCCAUUUGCCCAGAUCCCUCCUAGAAUGUGAGGUGUUGGCAAUCUCCCCCUCCCCCACAUGUCUUUGGACCCGGAAGGCAGUGGGUGCCUCCACUAGGUGGCUGGCUGCCUGCGUAGCCACUGCUUUGACCAAAACGUCAGGCCAUCCGGUGAAACCGCCCCCCACACCUACCCCCACCCCCCCAGAGACACCCUGUGCCCCGCUGGGAUCUGGAAAGAGGAGAAGAAAGCUAG